CACAGACCCAGGAUCUUUAUGGGGAGCAGAAGGUGGGAGGUCUGGCUUCUGUCAUUGCUUCUCCACUGGACAUGGGUGUUGGCAGCCUGUCUCUGUCUGUCCCUAGUGGGGCAGGACUCUGGGGAGGUGGGGGUGAGGUCUUCUGGCCCAGGGAGGUCAGGAUGGCAUCAUAGUAGCAUCUGCAACUUGGUGUCUAAAAGGCGGUAAGUCCUGAGGCAGGACAGAAUGUUUAAUAAAUAAGAAUCAGAAAGUAAGAAUAGAGCAGAUGAGAAUGGGAAUUUUAGGGUGGGAAGAAGCUAGGAAGUCUAUUUUAGGUAUGUUCCUUGGGGCCCAUGAUUUUAGUGAUUUUUGCCUGGGCUUGAUAGCUAACAGGCAGAUGGACUAAAAUCAUUGUCUGGGGAGAUGUAAGUCAGAGUUGAGAAUAGGACUAGAAAGCUGGAUUAGGGCAGAGAGUAGCUCCCAAACCUGAAGAAGAUCCACAAGUGCAGCUAACUGAGUAAAGCAAGGAUAUUUAUGUGUAAAUCCAAGGGGGAUAUUCUCCGAUAAGUGCAUAGCCCCUGGGCUCACCUUGGCCGUAUCUGUCUGCUCUCUGGGCUCAGAGUCGGUCUCACCUAUCUGUUAAUACAGGUCCAUUUCUAGUGAUUUGGGAGAUGUUAGUUUUUCUUUCUUUUUUACUUGUACUUCAUGGUAAGUUUCUUUUUAAUUGUCCAGUUUUAAAUGAUAUUUAAUGUAAUAGGAAUCAAAUACUAUUAGCUCAGAGCCAGCAAGACAGUUCAGCUGGGAGUGUACCUGCUUGAGCCUGGGCCCUACCACCUGGAGGAAGCUGCAGCCUGAUGACACAUCUCCUCUCUCCUGCCCCCAUGCUCUCUCUCUCAUCUACCUAGAAGAAGAAUAAACUGCCCCAACAGAGAAGCCACAACAAGAACAAAAGGAAUACUGUUUGGUUGGUUGGCUGUUUGUUUGUUUGUUUUGUUUUGUUUACCAGAGCUCUACUCAGCUCUGGCUAUGUUGGUACCAGGGAUUGAACCUGGGACUUUGGAGCCUCAGGCAUGAGAGUCUGUUUGCAUGACCAUUACGCUGUCUACCCCCACUGAAAAGAAUACUGCUAGCUCCAUAGAAACUGGCCGUUAGAACACAAACAUAUACACAAUUAUGGGCUUUUCUUUUUAUUAAAUAUUUUUAUUUAUUAUUGAAUAGAGACAGAGAGAAAUUGAGACAGGAGGGGAAGAUAGAGAGGGAGAGAGACUGAGAGACACCUGCAGCUCUGCUUCACCACUCAUGAAGCUUUCCCCCUAGAGGUGGGGACCAGGGACUUGAACCCGAGUCCUUGUGCCCUGUAGUGUGUGCACUUAACCAGGUGCACCACUGCCUGGCCCCUAAGCUUUUCUCUAAAGGACAGACAAGCUUCUAAAUAAGUGUGUAGAUAUUAUUGGCUAUCCUUGUCAAACUUCUUUAAAGGUGACUGUUGCAGCUGUCCCACAUCAUUCUUGUGAAUGAUUUCAGACUAAGAAUGUAUCAAAUGUUUUCGUUCUGUUUGCUAGGAAGGAAAAGAACUCACUCUAACAAGAUCACCACUGGAUACCUGCUUUGUCAUCUCACUAAGCCACCAUGUCAUCAGUACCACAGAAAGCACAUGGCAGCUGCUGAGUCAAGACUUUUGUGAGUCAACCUAGAUGAUGUAUAGAAAGAUGUUCUGUAAACAAGCAGAGCCUUGGUCAGUGUGAGGGAAAGGAAAUUGGCAUUUAUAGAACUCCUUUGAUGAGUAACUUGCUCUAUGUUGGCAAACACUGCCUCCAAUAAUUAUGUGAUUGCCCUAGGAGGUAGGUAUGGUUUUAUUAUUUUUACUUUUACUUACUGUCUCACUAAGGUGAGACUUUUUAAAUAGAGUGACAGGGAACUAACAGAGGGCCCCACGCAGGCAUGAUGUGUGAGCAGCCUCUCCCGCCUCACUUUAUUCUACACCAUUGGGGGGGGGGGUUACAUGGGGCUGUUUGGUUAUUCUGCUGAUUUUAGUGAUAUGUUUAUACAUUUCAGUUAUUAGUCUUUUGUCUGGUGUAUGUCCAAAGGAAACAAACACUCAUCCAAUGAGAUCUGUGUGCACCUGUGUUCACAGCAGCACAAUGUGUAACAGCCAAAACCUAAAAACAACCCAGGUGUCCAACAACAGAUGAGUGGCUGAGCAAGUUGUGGUCUAGAUACACAGUGGAAUACUACUCAGCUAUUAAAAAUGGUGACUUCACUUUCUUCACCUCAUCUUGGAUGGAGCUUGAAGGAACCACAUUAAAUAAGUCAGAAAGAGAAGCAUGAGUAUGGGAUGAUCCCACUGAUGGGGAGAACUAAGGAGACAAGGACAGAAAGGGGGAGACAGAGCAGAACUUGGACUGGAUUUGGUCUGUUGCACCAGAGCAAAGGACUCUGAGUAAAGAGGGCAGGGAGGAGAUUGGGAGGAGGACCAUUGGGGUCCUGGCCCCUGAGGGUGGAAAGAACCCAUGUUGGGGGUGAGUGUUUCUCAGCCACUUAGCACAGUGAAAUGAGAAAUUGUACCUAUGUGUCAAUAACUAGACUGUGACCAUUGCCCCCCAAAAAUAAAAUGAUAGAGAAAAAACUGUACUUUCAUUUAAUGAAAA